UGCGAAGUGGUGUAACUGGCAACACGCUCGGCUUUGACCCGAGAUACUCCAGGUUCGACCCCUGGCUUCGCAG
rnacentral:tRNA from 1 species